rnacentral:rRNA from 1 species
CCUGCAGAUGGAUCAUCGU